UUAAGCGACUAAGCGUACACGGUGGAUGCCCUGGCAGUCAGAGGCGAUGAAGGACGUGCUAAUCUGCGAUAAGCGUCGGUAAGGUGAUAUGAACCGUUAUAACCGGCGAUUUCCGAAUGGGGAAACCCAGUGUGUUUCGACACACUAUCAUUAACUGAAUCCAUAGGUUAAUGAGGCGAACCGGGGGAACUGAAACAUCUAAGUACCCCGAGGAAAAGAAAUCAACCGAGAUUCCCCCAGUAGCGGCGAGCGAACGGGGAGGAGCCCAGAGUCUGAAUCAGUGUGUGUGUUAGUGGAAGCGUCUGGAAAGGCGCGCGAUACAGGGUGACAGCCCCGUACACAAAAAUGCACAUACUGUGAGCUCGAUGAGUAGGGCGGGACACGUGGUAUCCUGUCUGAAUAUGGGGGGACCAUCCUCCAAGGCUAAAUACUCCUGACUGACCGAUAGUGAACCAGUACCGUGAGGGAAAGGCGAAAAGAACCCCGGCGAGGGGAGUGAAAAAGAACCUGAAACCGUGUACGUACAAGCAGUGGGAGCCUCUUUUAUGGGGUGACUGCGUACCUUUUGUAUAAUGGGUCAGCGACUUAUAUUCUGUAGCAAGGUUAACCGAAUAGGGGAGCCGAAGGGAAACCGAGUCUUAACUGGGCGUUAAGUUGCAGGGUAUAGACCCGAAACCCGGUGAUCUAGCCAUGGGCAGGUUGAAGGUUGGGUAACACUAACUGGAGGACCGAACCGACUAAUGUUGAAAAAUUAGCGGAUGACUUGUGGCUGGGGGUGAAAGGCCAAUCAAACCGGGAGAUAGCUGGUUCUCCCCGAAAGCUAUUUAGGUAGCGCCUCGUGAAUUCAUCUCCGGGGGUAGAGCACUGUUUCGGCAAGGGGGUCAUCCCGACUUACCAACCCGAUGCAAACUGCGAAUACCGGAGAAUGUUAUCACGGGAGACACACGGCGGGUGCUAACGUCCGUCGUGAAGAGGGAAACAACCCAGACCGCCAGCUAAGGUCCCAAAGUCAUGGUUAAGUGGGAAACGAUGUGGGAAGGCCCAGACAGCCAGGAUGUUGGCUUAGAAGCAGCCAUCAUUUAAAGAAAGCGUAAUAGCUCACUGGUCGAGUCGGCCUGCGCGGAAGAUGUAACGGGGCUAAACCAUGCACCGAAGCUGCGGCAGCGACGCUUAUGCGUUGUUGGGUAGGGGAGCGUUCUGUAAGCCUGUGAAGGUGUGCUGUGAGGCAUGCUGGAGGUAUCAGAAGUGCGAAUGCUGACAUAAGUAACGAUAAAGCGGGUGAAAAGCCCGCUCGCCGGAAGACCAAGGGUUCCUGUCCAACGUUAAUCGGGGCAGGGUGAGUCGACCCCUAAGGCGAGGCCGAAAGGCGUAGUCGAUGGGAAACAGGUUAAUAUUCCUGUACUUGGUGUUACUGCGAAGGGGGGACGGAGAAGGCUAUGUUGGCCGGGCGACGGUUGUCCCGGUUUAAGCGUGUAGGCUGGUUUUCCAGGCAAAUCCGGAAAAUCAAGGCUGAGGCGUGAUGACGAGGCACUACGGUGCUGAAGCAACAAAUGCCCUGCUUCCAGGAAAAGCCUCUAAGCAUCAGGUAACAUCAAAUCGUACCCCAAACCGACACAGGUGGUCAGGUAGAGAAUACCAAGGCGCUUGAGAGAACUCGGGUGAAGGAACUAGGCAAAAUGGUGCCGUAACUUCGGGAGAAGGCACGCUGAUAUGUAGGUGAAGUCCCUUGCGGAUGGAGCUGAAAUCAGUCGAAGAUACCAGCUGGCUGCAACUGUUUAUUAAAAACACAGCACUGUGCAAACACGAAAGUGGACGUAUACGGUGUGACGCCUGCCCGGUGCCGGAAGGUUAAUUGAUGGGGUCAGCGCAAGCGAAGCUCUUGAUCGAAGCCCCGGUAAACGGCGGCCGUAACUAUAACGGUCCUAAGGUAGCGAAAUUCCUUGUCGGGUAAGUUCCGACCUGCACGAAUGGCGUAAUGAUGGCCAGGCUGUCUCCACCCGAGACUCAGUGAAAUUGAACUCGCUGUGAAGAUGCAGUGUACCCGCGGCAAGACGGAAAGACCCCGUGAACCUUUACUAUAGCUUGACACUGAACAUUGAGCCUUGAUGUGUAGGAUAGGUGGGAGGCUUAGAAGUGUGGACGCCAGUCUGCAUGGAGCCGACCUUGAAAUACCACCCUUUAAUGUUUGAUGUUCUAACGUUGACCCGUAAUCCGGGUUGCGGACAGUGUCUGGUGGGUAGUUUGACUGGGGCGGUCUCCUCCUAAAGAGUAACGGAGGAGCACGAAGGUUGGCUAAUCCUGGUCGGACAUCAGGAGGUUAGUGCAAUGGCAUAAGCCAGCUUGACUGCGAGCGUGACGGCGCGAGCAGGUGCGAAAGCAGGUCAUAGUGAUCCGGUGGUUCUGAAUGGAAGGGCCAUCGCUCAACGGAUAAAAGGUACUCCGGGGAUAACAGGCUGAUACCGCCCAAGAGUUCAUAUCGACGGCGGUGUUUGGCACCUCGAUGUCGGCUCAUCACAUCCUGGGGCUGAAGUAGGUCCCAAGGGUAUGGCUGUUCGCCAUUUAAAGUGGUACGCGAGCUGGGUUUAGAACGUCGUGAGACAGUUCGGUCCCUAUCUGCCGUGGGCGCUGGAGAACUGAGGGGGGCUGCUCCUAGUACGAGAGGACCGGAGUGGACGCAUCACUGGUGUUCGGGUUGUCAUGCCAAUGGCACUGCCCGGUAGCUAAAUGCGGAAGAGAUAAGUGCUGAAAGCAUCUAAGCACGAAACUUGCCCCGAGAUGAGUUCUCCCUGACCCUUUAAGGGUCCUGAAGGAACGUUGAAGACGACGACGUUGAUAGGCCGGGUGUGUAAGCGCAGCGAUGCGUUGAGCUAACCGGUACUAAUGAACCGUGAGGCUUAACCUU
rnacentral:rRNA from 1 species